GAGAUGAGAAGCAGCCAGUUUCAGAGCUGGGCAACCAUCGCUCUUUUUCAAUACAUUUUAAACAAGAGGAUCUAGCGAGUGAUUCCGAUUCAAUACACAUAAUCAGUUUGGAAGUCCUAUUUCCAUUUGAAAACAGCCCUAUUUGCAAUCAUGAGGGCCGGACACGAUGGAAGAUACAGGACGCAUUCAGAGUAGGUGGUAGGUGAGAGAGUCGGCAGACGAGCACCAAAUAUUUUCUCCUCGUUGCAAAGCUUUUCCACGAUGCUUUAAUCACGCAGCAUUUUCAAAAUAACGUUCUAUUUGAAAAUGUUGCUUCAUUGCUUUAGAAAGCAAGGAUUCGAUUUACACCGAGACUCUCCCAUUGGGGAAAAGAAAAGAAAAAGGAAUAAAGAAAAACAACAAGAAAAGUAUUGAUUGGAAAAGCAUGUUGACUGUCCUGUCAAAGCCUUAGGGUUAACAGUCAUUUAAUUAAGAACGCCGGGCUAUUUUUUAUAAAACGAUAAAUUGCUUUUGAAUUAAGGCCCUGAGGAGGGACACGUGCACGGAGAACAGCUCGGGGCCAGAGAACGCGGAGCUGAGCGCACUGCCCGGGGCAGCCCUGUCCGAGGGAGCUUUGCUCUGGAGAGCCCUUCCCCUGGGGAGCCCUAUGCUGGGGAGCGCUUCCCGGGGCUCCCCUCUCCUGUCCCCGGUAGGGCCCGUAUCGCUGCCGGAGCGGAGAAAGGAUGCGCAAGAGCCGCCGCACGUAUCUCGGGGGUGGGUGAGCCGCGGGAAGAGCGGAGCCCCCGUCACCUCGCCCCCCGCAGCAGUCCUUGCUCCGAGAAGGACGGCACUCCCCGUUUCUGCUUGCUCGGAACGUCUUUCUUACUCCUCAACCUCCCGGAGCCCAGAGAAAGCCGGGAGGCCUACGCACCCUCCGUCAUAAUCAUCCUGAAGGAGAGGAGCGGGCAGAGAAGCUGACGUUGGGGGGAACCAACAGUGAAAUGAUGGUUCUCCCAGCACCUCACUUCGCACAUUAAUUGACGUUUCCGAUUCCCCUCGUUUACUUGUUGAUCUGGUUGCGCGCUGCCGACAGCGCGUGAGGUCUGCAGGCAGCUCCCCAGCCCCGAGCGCAGCCCCCCGCCCCGUUUGCUGCUCAGGAUUUGUAGCAGGCACCGCUUCGUGCGGCUGAACGCUGUGGCCCGUCCCAGCGCACUGCUUAUCCCCGUUCCCACCCAGUUUGUAAUUCUCUUCCACUUCAAACGGCCAAAUUAACUCCCGGGAAGGGAGGAGGAGGUAAAUAAAUAAAUAUUGGAAUAAAUAAAUCAAUGUCGCAGAAAGCCACAUUUGCCCUCGGAGAGGUGCGAGCUGUUAUUACUGCUUUACAGAGCAGGAGGAGGGCGACGGGCGGGUUUGUGCGGACAUCCUUGCCGCUGCCUCGGGGCUCCUCGCUGGGGCCGGACUCGUAGAGCACCUCACCCCCUCCCCCCAAUUCCCUCCGCCUCAGUCCGGCUCCCCGCGCUCCUUCUAUCGCCCCUCAAAGCUGUCCCUUCUUUGGCAAAGGAAAGAAGCGGGGAACGCAUCUCCGUCGGGUUCGCCACCGUGCUACCCCCAGGAGGGAAGGAAGGAGCCCCUGCUCCCCUCUCCGCAAAAGCUCAUUAGUUUUGAGCCCUAAUUAGAGCUCGGCUAGAUGGUGGAGGAGGCCCCCAAGGCUGCGCUUGGGGCUUUGGGAGCGGUUUCUCCUCUGCCCGAGGUGCCACAGUUACAGUCUACCGUCCCGUCCCUCCAUAAAGUGGGCACUGUUGCUCGUGGCGCCCACCUGGAAGGUGGUGAAAGAGGAAAGAAGGGACCGCUCUUAGGAAAAGUUCUGCCCCAACCCAGGCUCUGUUGGCAUUAUCCACACAAGCUGCCCCCAUCGAGAUGUACAGACAGAAUGGAGUUCGACGCGUUUUGUUUAUCCCUUAAAGCCGCGGCAGGACCACGGGAUGCACCGAGCUUUCCCUGCUUCGGUAAAACACCCCAAAAUCCGAGCAGAACCGCCGGCGAAUUCCGAUCCGAUUCUCUUUUUACACAACCACUGAAGAGCGAAUCAUUUUUUUUUUUUUGGUGUGGGAGAUCCAUCGCCAGACUGUUGUCAGGAGUCAGAUCUAUCCCACAUCGCUAACACAGCCACAAGUUAGAACAGCAGUGUCACCUUCAGGAGUGUCACCUCGGGCUCCCUGGAUAAUUUAAGACCUCUCUCCCCCCGGUUCCCACGAUGAAAAACUCUUAGUGCAUCCACAAGUGAAUCGUUUAUUUUAUUACCAGUGAUUUUCAAGGGAAAAACAGAAGGGCUACUCCAACCCAGCAGCCUUCAGGCGGGCACAUUCCCACUUAACCAAAUCGCGUGGUGCGAGUGGAGGACUGCGCCCUAAUUGACGCCCGUUACUGGGACACGGGCUGCGGACUGGGGCCGGGCACAGAGGGAGAGAGCCUUCCACGAAUCCCAGUGACCUAAAAACUAGCACGAGACUUCUCCGUGUUGAUGUCGAUCUGCAGAAGUGAUGCAUGCGUACGCAGUGAAAUGCGUCCUGGCGGAUGUGUUCGUCCGUAUUAAAAAGCAGUGACUUUUGGGUUUGUUAACUUGAACGAUUCAAAAGUAUCAUAGAGUCCCUCACUGCAUCGGCGUGAGGUUUGCCGAGUGAUAGAACGAAUUCCUUAUAUAGCGAAGGAGAGGGAGAAAAAGGAUGAUCUCAUUACAACCAAAACUUAGGAGGGGCGAGGAGAAGGCAGUGCUCGUGACACGUCUGCCUGUUUCCACGCGUCCUUUGCCACCGCGCUGUGGGACGUUUUAUUUCUCUUUAUUUCUGUAUUCGUUUCACUGGAAUAUUCAUUUUUGGUCAAACUCCGCACGGGACGGAGUUUUUGGCAGGAGACUGACCCCUGUUCUGUGGUCUCUGCGUGCUUUUGCAAGUGGGAACGGUGAAGAAAAAAAGGAAAGAAAAGAAAGGGGAAAAAAACAGUACCCGGAACAGUGCCCUUAGAAACAUUUUUCUUUAAAUUUCUGUUGUCAACAUUUAAAAGAACAAAGGGAUGGAUAAUUCUUUCGCUCAGUGAAUGCCGAAUAAAUACUGAUUCAUCUUUCGGAACAGGACGAGCAGAUUUUAUUAAAUAUUUCAUACGCAAAAAAAAAAAAUAAUAAUAAUAACAAUAAAUAUAUGCGCCUUUUAUACGUACUUGUCCUUAACCUUUAAAAGCAACCGCUGUAAAUGCCAGAUCCGUACUUUCUCUAAUAGAUUUUACCAGGAGCUGGUGACAGAGAACUGAUUUCUUUUCUAUUAGGGCUUUAGUACAUCUUUGUUGCAGGCCCGCGGAAUGACCAGGGAUUAGAUUUGCAUCUCUUAGACUCCCUGUGUGGUCUUUGUAAGAAGCUUGUAACUGUUAAAAAUGACUUGUUAGUAAGCGUGUGGGCUCUCAUCUCUUUGCUUUUGACAGAAUGAUUGUGAAAUUCAGAUUGUUCUUCUAGGCUUUAGCCCGCAGAUUCCACCUGAACCCUAAGCAAUUAGAGCCUAAUCUCAGUGCAAUCAUAUUUGAGUUAGGAUUUGUUGCACUUUGUUUACUUCAAUUAAAAAGCCGGGGAAUAUUUCGGAGCGGUUUUUAAGCGAUAUUCACGAGGCACUGAGCGAAUUUUUCAAGCCCUGAAUUUUGUCCUCACCGCCCCAUUACUCGGCUUUCCGCAGUGCAAAGCGCUCUUAGGAUUCCACGGGUAGAACUGAAGAGGAAACAGCGGGACAUUAAAAACAACCCGCAGCCAUUCGCGGGGCGGAAAUGUCCGCGGCACCGCCGGCUCUGCGCGCGGCCGCCGGGCCCGAUCCGGAGCGGCCACCGGAUAGAAGGCGGGCCGGGCUCCGCCGGCUGCGCGGUGGGUCCGCGGCUUCGCCGGUGUUUGCAGGUCCCGGUGCUGGGCUCGUUCCGAAGAAGCCGCCCUCGCCGCGGCACUGCGCUGCCUGUGGGUUUCCCGACAAGAAACAAACAAACAAAAAGCCCGAACCCUAACCACGCCACCUGCGUGCUGUGGUCCGAUACGUUAAAUUUAGGAUCAAACACGGUGAAAAAGAGGGGGGGAGGGAGAGGGGGGGGACAAAAACAAAAAACAACACCCCACCGUAUUCAGGAUUCUUUCCUCCUUCAGAUGCCAAGUUUCUGUUUGUGCCCAGGUUUCAGCUGGCCAGCCCCAGAAGGAUGGUUUUUACUACCGACAUUCACAUAAUUACAGCUUUCAAGUGCUACGCUCUCACAUCAGAAAUAUUUUCUUUAAACAGAAACGUCUUCUCCUUUUUCUCUUUUCUCUUCCAUCUUUUCCAGUCAUUAAGACAUUUCAGAAAGUCUUUUCCGAGUCUCUGUGAGUCAAGCACGAACCUUCCAAAAACUCCUUAAAUAUGGAGGGUCAUUCCGUUUAAAAUUUUAGGCCGAUUUUUUUCUCCCAUGUGAGUCAUUUGCUACCAAUAUUCUAUGUUAAGGUGGUCUGGGCUCGAUCAUGUUCCCACCGAAGUUAAGAUGCGAGCCCUCCUCCUGCUCCCAGCAGAAUAGGAUCGAGCCCUUCCACGCUAGUAGAGGUUUAAUAGCAUCAGCACAUGCCCAACAACCACCAUUAUAACCUUGACCCGGUCAGGUGCAAUGAUAUUACGCCUCCUAAAGUUAUCCUGCAUUUCCUUGGUGACAGCAAACGGCUCUUUAUCACCUCUCACUUCCCACAAUAACCCACAGGCAAUGAUACCAAUAACACACUGCUCUUUUGUCAUUCUUUCCCCUCGGAAGCCCGAGUAAGUAACAAAAUAAUAUUAAUACCGUGUGCAUUUUCUAGACUGGUCAGCCUAUGCUGCCCGGGUCACUUCAUCCCGACUGCGAGCACUGAAGCAAAAAAGUCACAUUUCUGAAAGUGAGUCAGUUGCUCUGAACGGUCUGUGUCCUGCUGCUGAGUGCGGAACUGCGCGCUGGAGUGGAACAUCAAGAGUUCCUGUGUGUAGCCUGCCUCAAACCCGGCUUUCAGGCUGCUCUGUUUGACACUUUAUGAUGAGUGUUGGACUAAUCUAACACUUUAAAAACUUUGUUUCAGGUCCAUAGGAGGCACACUAGCCAGUCUUCCUAUUUCACUUCAUUAUUUUUUGCAGUAAUAACACCUUUGGAUCAGUGUUGCGGGAUUACUUUUAAACCUCAGACAUUCGUUCCCUCCCCAAGGCUGUGGUUUAUUUACCGUUUGUCUUUUCCUUUCAGAUCAUAAUCACAGACAUAAUUUUCCCUUCCCAAACCUGAGGUUCACCAUGAUAUGUCUGCAAAAUAAAGUGCUCUUCAUUCCUUUCCUGUCACACUGCAGAAAUAUAUUUGCUAAAUAAUUGUUGCUCCAAGGAAAUAAAUCAGCAAAACUCAAAGAUACUCUCUGCAGAAUGUGGGAUGCACUGAUUUUAACAUCAAGAAAUUAUUCUUAAUUGAACGGUGUCGUGUUGGCAAGUAUGGUCUUUUUCUGCAGGCUGAAAGAAUGAGCAAUUCUUCUUGCCUUAAAAGACUGCUUUACAGAUAAAAGCAUCUCAGUCGACAACUUAAUCUUUUUUAAAUCAGGCUUGAGCAGGGUAGAUGAGUAAUGGAAUGACAAGCUUUCUAGGGUACCGCUUCGAGCAUCACAGAGUCUCUGCUGCCCCUCUUCUUUCCCUGCUUGUAGUGCUUGUGGUUGAACGUGUGCUGGAUUUUCACAGAAAAUAGAAGACAAAAGCAGCAGAACAAAUUUUACACAGCAAAGGUUUUACUUUGACCGAGGAAACUGAGAUGUACAAUGUUGAUCAUGCUGAAGGGCAAGAAAAAAUUGUGUAUGGAUGAACAAAAACCUGUGAGAAGUGAGCAUUUUAUUUCCAAGAUAAAGGUAAUGAGAAGAGCAGACCUAAGAAUGGGGAACAAACAUGAAGAAAGAACACAGAGAAUCGCUAACAUGUGCAAGGCUCUGCAAAAACAGUGUGCGAGAUGGAACAAUAAUCCUGUUCUUCAGAGGCUCCUCAUCCAGUUCUCAUUAGAAGCAGGAGGCAGCUGAUCAGCCUGCAGGCAGGUGGGCUCAGCACACAGCUUGUUUUGGCUGUUCUGGCAAUCCAUUGCCACUAAGGAAGGAUGGGUUUUCCAACGAAGUAACACGGAGAAGUUCUGUCCUGAAAUAGAGGGGGAAGCAAAGGGGUCAUGGAUGAUAAGUCUCAGAAAUGUGCUGAGGGACACCAACAGGCUGUCUUGAUGUAAGCACUAAAAUACAGCCUGAAACCAGGGGUUUUCUUAGUUGUAGGAGUCUGUCCAGAUAGGCAUGGGGUGGAAACAGUGUCAUCAAAAACAGAUCUGCGGAAAAGUUAGCUGAGUAGCUUCAAAACAUCCAGAAAUUCCCUUCUUUUGUUUAUGCUGGAGUUACUUUUUAGCUUAUCUAGUGAGGGAUGUUCACAAGUGAGGACAGAUUUGACCGCUGCAGAAAUCCUCAAUGAAGCUCUCUCUCUCAUUUAUUUAUUCUUUUUUAUUUUUUGUAUUUUAUCGACUAAAGUGAGAAAGACUUCUGUCGCUCAUUUCAAAAAGUGAACUGCAGCAACAAAAAACAGGUUCCAAUGAAAGGGAUAAGGCCCACGGGGAUAUAUUUGAAUAUUACCGCAUGGGCAAAAAUGAUGGUAGUACUGAGAGUAUGGGAAAGAAAUGGGUACGGUGUGAGCAUUCAGAAGUUCGCAGGUAUUAGAACAUUACCCAGAAAGCAGUGGGUACACUUAGAAAAAUAUUUUUAUAGAAAAGACGAGGUCAAAUCAGACCAGUAACUUGCAUAACUCAGUGUCUUGCCCUGUGGCAAUAGUAAUACAGCUUUUAAAACAAGGUGAUCAAGUGGGUAAGCGUGGACUAAUUGACUCAAAAGAGAGUUAUCUGGGGGCAUUUCUGGAAGAUUUCUGAACUUCAUUAUUUCUUGAACUUUUCCAGGGGUGUCUCCUAGCAAUAAAUUACAGCAUUAAAUAUGACACGAUCCACAUUUGGUGGUUUAAGAUCCCUCUUCUCCCAAGCUCUUACACAGGCAGACUCUGUAGCUCGACAUUCUUCGUAGUGUUCAUUAAACUUGUUUACGUUGUGACUUCUUGUUGUACUUUGGACCCUGGAACCGCUCCCACCACAUACUUGCCAAGUAGUUUCUAAUCCAGCAUUUUUGUAGAAGCUGCAGAGACCAGAAGGACCAGGAGAAGCUGCUCUUCUUCCCCUUGCAGUGUUGUAAGAUGCUCAGUAAGUAAUGCUGUAAGAUCUAAAGAUCCGUUUUAUUUCUAACUUCUUCAUUGCUGUUAUUAUCUCAGUUUAGAGCAUGAGCUAUACAUCUCUAUUUUGACCAGGACUGAACAAAUAUUAUCAUCAACAGUUAAUAUAUACCUUGAAGCAAAAGAACCACAAGUUUUAAGGAGUCUUGUCAUAACGUGAAGAAUAACUGUAGCUUGCAUAGUUCACAGAGCAACUGGAAACAAAAAUCUGUGCCACAAUCCAAACUCUUUUCUCUCUCUUCAUUAUACUCUUAGGAAUGCAUUGUGUUUUCUUUUUCUUUUUCUUUUUCUUUUUAAUUCAUAGCAAAUACAAUCAGUACCUCCAUUCUGUUCCCUCUUAUACACUCCUUUUCUAUGCCAAAACAGGAGUGAUAUUGAAGUUAUAUUUAUUUAAGGAAUAUUAAAGUCUUUUCCAGUAUACAAAAUCAAUGAAGUCUGUUUUUCCAGGGCUGGAGCAAAGGGGUUGAGAUGACAUAAUCAGUCUACACGUAACUAAGAAAAGAUUUCCUAUACAAGAUGUGCUUUUAAUUUGACAGGGAAAAGGAGGCACAAUUGCGCUCUAUAGCUGAGAGGUUAGGCUAGGCAACGCUCAGCUGAAAUAAGGUGAAAAUCCUUAACAGGGAAGGCAUAAGGGUGGUAUGAUAGGACCUUCUCUACUCUAACUCAAAGGUAUAUGUCCUUCUGGAGCUAAAGUGUGAUGCAGAAAUUGCUGUGGUGUGCAGGCAGUAACAUCCUGGCCCUUUUUGGUCUCAUUUUCUGUGGCUCUGAAGAACCCUUGAACCAGGUCUUUUUGUACUUGCAAGGACAUGUUAUGUUUUUAAAAAAGGCAUUACUGUGCAUCAAGAAUAUUGACCACAACAUUGCAAACUUACCAUCAUUAACCUGACAUCUGAAUUUAUGUUACAUCCAACUUGAACUCUGUAAAGCAUUUACCCUCAGAAGACUCUGAAGCACUGAGUAGGAACAAAAGUUAAAUUUAAGUUUAAAUUAAGAAGAAAAAUACUACUAUCCCUAUGUUAAUGUUCUACAUAUUUAGCAGCACUGCUUCUCUAUACUUAUUCUGUCUUCCAUCUCACAUGUAGGGAGAACUAGACAGAAAAUCAAUUCCCCAGCCACCUGCCGUCUCACCAAGAGGCACUACUUUUUCACCUCAGACUGUUCUACCGACAAGUCCAUCAUUACUAACCAUCAUUGCUUCACAGCACAUGAAAUUCUGGGGUCUUUCCAAUCUCAGGAACCAGACAUGGAUCUCUAAGCCAAACAACCCAAACCUGUCAUCUCAAGGACACAGGAAAAUACAGUAACGCUAAUUACCAAUGAAAAGUUCACAUUAGACACCGUAGCUACCUACUUUACUUCUCUGUAUGUAUCUUCUGCAUGGUUUUCAGUCAAACCUUUUCAGUAGGCACUGCAAGGUGAAAGGGAGGGAGAGGGCACAGAAGCUGGAAGUUCAUGCUAGUGUACCAGCAGUUAACCGGGGCUGAGAAAUCUACUGUGAUAGGCUGCUUCAGUAACUCAUAACAAUGCUGAUAGAAGGGGUUCUUCAAUCUCAGCACAGGGAAAGGAGAAAUCCCAAGUAAUCUAGAAACACAGUUUUUAUUUUAAUCUUUUAAGCUAAUAAUUAGGCUUAAUCUUCUUAUUUGUUCAAUUCUAGCUUCACAUCCAAAACAAGAUUAUUGAAAUAAGAUUUGAAGACCGAUUUUGUGCCUCCUUAUUUCACAGAACUACUUCCACUAAAGGGAGAUCUAGAGAAGAACCACAUGCUACUUACGGAAAAGUUAUGACCUGCUUUCAAGGCAGAACAUUACUAAACCAUGUUAGUUAAAAUACAUAGUUUGGAGACUUGGGAUGUUAGUUAGAGUAACAUAUAGAAUCUACGAAAGUUCCCCAGGUGAUAAAUUAAGACUGUACAGAAGUCACAGGCACAUUUUUCAGACGCAUCUAGUCCUCAGAGUCAACCAAGAAUGAAUGUAUUAAGGAAGACCUAGUCAAUGCCUUCAGAAAACAUAGAGCUGAACACACCUGCUCUUGUUACUGCUAAGAUCAUUACAGUUGAAAAUAAAAAAGUGCAGGUAGUAGUAAUGGGAACUCAGCUCAGAGAAAGGGAAGGUAGAAAACAUAGAAGAGGCAUGAGGAUAUGAAUAUAAUUGUUGUCCUGAAAAGAAGGAUUCUUUUUUUCUCAUUAUUUAACACCAUACAAAUAGACCUACUUUAAAUAGUUGUUUGUAUAUUUACUUAUGCUAAUCCCCAUGGAAGCACCCUAUAGGGUGGUGUUUUAGUGUGUCUUCACCUGCAGACAAAAAAAUAAUAUUCUGAAAGCCAACUGUGUUCAUCACUGGGAUGGACCUCUGCUUUCCCCUCAGUGUAGAUCGCUACUGUCACAUACAGGGCCUGUUAUUUUCCUGUAUUCUGGUAUGAAAAUGGUGAUGCUAUGAAGAAGAGCUUAACCAUCUCACAACAGUGCCUAAAUCCCAGCCUCAACCAGAGAAAAUAAGGGACAAAAAGACUUUUAACUUAGCAAGAAGGUGGAGUUAGAGAGCAAUGCCAUGACAGGCUCAGUGCUCCUCUGGGUGUCUUUGGCACAGUAGGGAGCUGGGCAGCAGUCUGCCAAGCCGUGCAACUAACAUCUCCGUCACAAGUCUCUCCUUCCUCUCUCUGCUCUCAAAUCCCCAGAAGCAGCAGGAGCAACACAACAGAAACAAAAGAUGUAGUAUGCUCUCACUGACCCUGAGCCUGAAGAGGCCUCUCAGCUCCAAUUCCACUUUAUAGAAGUGUGAUUUCAUGGGGGCCCAAGAAUAUGUCAUGGUUGCCUGACAGGCAUAACAGAGGGUGGAGAGAACAGCUGGGGAAGCAGGUAGGUGCUACCUGCUGCUAACGAAAUCAUACACAGGAUUUCAGCUGUGAUUGAUUUCUCCCACAGUCCAACAGCUGAUAGCCUUUUCAGCCUGGCCCUGCUAGAAGUAAGUUUUUUGUGUGCUUCAUCCUUCCUUGCCCAUUCCUCCUUCCCCACAACCCUGCUAGACACCAGGAGAACCUCGUGCCCUGGAGUGCAGUGAGAGCUGAGCCCAACCUGGUGACAAGAUUUGACCUCAACAGAUGCAAAGCGGGCUGUAGCUCCUACUGCAGAUUGUGAUUUGUUCCUAUGUGAUGCAGAGCUGAACCAGUCUUGGUUCAGAUUCCUUGUUUCUAUACCCUAUGGUUUUGUAUAGCUGCCUUGUUCUGAUUCUUCUUCCUAGAGUCAGUGUGGCUAGGAAUGAAGAAGUAAUAAAAAUAAAAAAAGCACUUUGGGAACCAGGAGAAAGGAUUGGGAAGCAGUGUGAAGAGGUGAUAGGUACAUUUGCAGCUUGUCAGAUAAGAAAUUAAACACUGUGUAAUUUUGUGUGUGUGUGUGUGUGCGUAGCCAGUGGAAUAAACGAGAUGUUUUUUUAAUCAAAUUGUUUAAUAGUGGUGAUUUGUUUCAGUAUUAACUAAAAUUCACUGCACUAAACUUUCUCCAGAUGUUAAGAUUCCAGUAACAUCAACUAAAGGCAAAUCAUGGAUUCUGAUGUAUUCCCACAUCUUCAAUAAUAAAACAAUCUGAUUUGCACAACAGCGAUAUGCCUGCUUCUGCAGAGCUGAAACAACAUUUUAGUAUUCCAGCUUCUUACCCCCAAAUGUAUCUCUCUAGAUACGCGGUGGUAAAUGUAGGAUGUACAGGAUAACAGCAUUUAUUUCUGAUUCAAGGUUAGCUGGUACAAGAGAGAAGAAGGGGAAAUCAAUCACUGAGUUUCUUUCAGGAUUUUCUAUGCUUAGGUUUAUUUUCUUUGUAUACAUACCUCUACAAACGUAGUGGUGAUUUGAAAAUGUAAUCACAAAGUGGCAUGUUUCACAUGUUCACUGUACUUACAGAAGGCAAAAUUGUACGAGUGAUUUAUCAAAUUCUACUUUAUUAUGAAACAUAAAAAACAACAUGGCACAGGAAAUAUUUCUGGUGUAUCUACAAAAACACAUUUUAAGGCAAAAAGAGCUGAAAUUGUGCAGAUACUGAAUUAAUCUGUUUUUAAGCAAAAAUCUAUAAAACAGCAAAAUAAAAGGCAUUGUGCUGUGUGUUGCUGCUUAAAACUGGGAACAACAGUGGAGCGCGGCAGUUAAUUAGCUUCAGUCAACAUGAGAUGCUUUACAACAUUUCUCACAUCGCUGCUUCAUCUGGGCUUUGGAAUAAACAUUUCCCACACUCUGCAUGAAGAAAAUAACCGGAAAAUAUAUAGCUUAGCCAUUCAAAAUAUGCAGGUAUUUCAGACAAUCUUUCCUGCACUGGAGAAGAGAUUUUAAAUACCUUCCAUAAAAAGAGAGACUAAAACCACUGAACAGAGGAGUUUGUAAUCCUAUUUGCUUAGCAUUUGGGGGGUUAAUAUCUAUUCUUAAUCACCAAACCUUACAUAUUGCUUUUAAAAGAUCUUUCACCCUUUUUGUGUUUUUUGUAAUUUUUGUGUACUUUGGUUAUCUGUUGCACAAAAGAACUAUCUGCUCUGUAAAGGCAUCAUAUAAAAAUCUCCAUUUAAUGCAUUAUAAAUAAUGAAGUGCUACAUUAUAAUAAUUAUUUCCAUAUUAACUAAACGCACAGCUAAGUUACUUGCAUUAAACAUCUACACUUUGCUUAAUGCCUUUAAAUAGCAUCUGAUUCUCUCUUAUUGCAAGUAUUCAACUGAUGUUCUGGCCCAGAGGAGGCUGCGGAGUUUACUUCUUAGAGAUCUGUGUAAGGCGAGCAGCUUCAAAAGGGAAAGCCCUGUACUUAAAGCAUUUUAUUUAUUCCACUUACGUUUGAUUGUGCAAGGUGUGUAAAUAAAGGGUUCAGACUCUGCACUUCAUGCAGUUCAGCUAGGCACGUAACAAUUAUUAUUUUAGUAAGGGGUAAGGAGUGCGCUGGCCAGCUUCCAUUUUACCUAACAGCUGAGACGAAGUGCCUGAACUGCUUCCUUCCCAAAGGAGUGGCUGUAAAUUCACUUCUGUGGAGAACAGGACAACUUGAUAAUGGAUUAUUAUUAGUCACUACAUUGGAAAGUAGGAUUUGCUUUAAAAUGCAACAUUUUAAAUUUGGGGAUUUACCAGUCACUGUUUACAUAUUUCUAAAUAUAUAGUAUUUUUGAGGUCAGAGGCUGAUGAGCUUCCAGGCUAGGAUAAUUGUCUUUAAACCAGGAUGUUUACCAGAGAAUGCUGAAGAGAAGAAGAUCUUUUGUUUAAAAUGCCACACCGAGUAGAACAGCUUUCUUGUGAACUUUCUGAAUCUUGACAGCAUGUUUUCCUCAGGCGUUAGUUAUUAUUAUUUUUUUGCGGUGUGUCACUCUUCACAUUUUAACAACAAAUAAGUAGUGCUAAGACAUUUUCUGCCCUUCAGUUGUAAAUGUACCAGACCCAACUGAACAGGGGCCACCGUUAUUGCAAAAAUAAAAGGGGUUUGCGGAUGGGAUUAAUUAGGAGGAGGGAAUGUAAGGGCUCCCGCUUUAAGAGGCAAGUACCCUGUGUCAUUAGUUUGCUUGCUUUUGGGAAAAAUAAAACCCACCCAAACUUAUAACAAAAGUUGAAUGCUGAAUUAAAUGCAUUUUAAAGAAUGUGAUUUAGCUUCUCUGAAGCUUCAUUUUUAUGCAAUGAUGUACAACUAGAAUAGAGCAUAUGACUUCAAAUUAUUUAAUUCUCCUUUUAUAGGAGAUAUUCAAAAUGAACAACAGAAUUGUGGCAUUCGCAUUCAUAUUUCAAUCAAACAUUUGUGAACUUGACACUGCUCGCUCAUGAAGUUGCCAGGGUUCUUUAUGCUGAGGGCAAUUCUAUCAACAGUGGAUAAUAAUGAAUAUUUUUAUUGUUGGCACUUUUAUUGAUUUUAGUAAAUAACACAUCAGCGCUACAACGCCAACUUAGAAUAUAAAAGUAGUCACGGGGUUGUCUCUGGAGUCAUUGUUUCUUAUGGCAAAUAAAUCUCAGUGAAAGGUCAAAUGGUUUAGGUACAAUAUUUUAGUACUUUGGAGAGACAAAGUUGUAAAGAGACUGAUAAGAGCUUUAGAAAGCUCAGAUUAGACUUUAGUUCAGGAGGAUAUACCAUAAGAGUAAAUUUGUUAAACAGAAACUUCAAUCACAUCAUUUUUUAUCAUUUUCAACAAGCAAAAUUGUCUUCUGCUAAUGAGGGGAUAAUUUGGUGCAAUGUGUACAACUGAAAAUAAAAACUUUUGAAGAAAAGAAAAUCACAAGCACAGAGCAGUCGAUCAGAUGCUUCCAUCUAGAAAAUACUGGGACUUAAUUCUGGUCUUCUUCAUGCUCCUUGGCUGAGUAUCAAGAUUCUUAUUUGGACAAAACUCUUGCAGCUGUCUUUCUCUAGAUUUUUGCCUAGCAGAAGUGACAACGGUUUGCCAUUUUGUACACCAGUCUGGUUUUCUGCUCUCUCAUACAAAUUUUAAGCCACUGGCUUCAGCUGAAUUAUUUUUGGUACACAUUAUUGAAUGUGAAAGAGCUGAUCCCUAGGAUUACACAUUUUAUUUUAUGAAUGUAAAUGUAACUCUAAGUCUUUUUGAAAAAUUACAGCUUGCGAGGCUUAGGAAAUUUAUUGAUAGGCUGGGGACAUCUUCCUGCCCUAAUCUUCAGACAAAAGUCUGUUACUUAUUGUGAUGGAAUCAAUAAAAACAACAAAAGUGGGAAAGGAAGCAGAAGAAAGAAAGUGCAGAACUGUAGGAAAGUCUUUUUCCACUAAGGUCUAUGCAUGCAGCCACCAGGGCACAGAAGACAGCAGAAUAGCAAUAAAAUAUGCUACAUGGAGCACCACUAGUCAGAAUGAAAAGAACAAGGCAGGAAAUCCUACUUCAACUUUCAUAAUGGCAGAGACAAAACUUCCAUUUUAAUUUUUUCUUUUUAACUGUGCUGCAUACAGAACAAAUGUGAAAAAUAGUAAUUUUAGUGCUACAAGGAAACAAAUAAUACAUGAGUUAUAUAUGAGUUAAAUGUUACAUAACAUUCUACUUAAAAAAUCCAUCUUACAAGGCCUGAUCCUGAAGCCUAUUUUGGGCAAGAUUCCCUUAAAUGUGAUUUUGAGCUGUAAGAUCAGCUGUGCUUGCAGUUAAAGAUAUAUGUAUAUGUUUCAUUUUUAUUAUCUACUUAAAUGCAAAAUCUCUUCUUCCACAACCAACUAUUUCUUUUUCUCAGAGAAACAUCUCUUUUAGUAUCAUAUUUUUCAACUCUGAGUGUACUAAAAAGAUUUCAUACGAAACUUUAUAAACAGUUGCCUAAAAAUAUAGGGAAACAAGGACAGAGUGCUUAUCAAAUGCAAAUCUCAUCCGUCUUGUAAUUAUUAACAUACGGAAAGAUGUUCAAAAUCCCCUUUAUUUAUAUUGUUCUCUGGUAACACCUGCAGUUACUAGGAGAGCAGAAUUUUGAUGGGCUCAGCUGGACCUUUAAAAAGGGCACAGAAGAAGAGAAGUCUAGAGCUUCUCAUGGGGAUAUACUAUUUCUUUUUUUUUUUUUUUUUCCAAAGCAAAACCAUAAAAAGUUGAUGUGAAAUAUCCAGAUCUCAUGGAUUCAAAUGAAGUCAAAGAACUUCCUUCACACCAUGAAGAUCUGCAUAUAUGCGGCAGCUGGCUGGGGAGGGGAUGAGCAGUUUCUUUUUCUCCCAGAGAUGACUGAAUGAAAAGCCCUCUGAAGGACCUUUUCUGUGAUCUCUGGUGGCUGUGUAUCCACCUUGGGCUUUCUCCUUACGUGUGCAUCUACUGAGACGUGCUGCUGCUGAAUUCAGCGAAAUUGAGCCCUAACUAUGAUUGGGAUAUGAGGACACAUAAUUAGCUGUGUUAGAAAACUGACCCUCUUUCUUUCAUUAAGGUGGAAUUUUACCCUAUAAAAUAUGAAUGAGUAAAGACAUUUUAAUCAGGAAAAUAAAAUAACCAAAUCAUUCUCCACUGUUGUUAUUUUUACACUGCAAUGAGACAAUGGUAGGGCAACUCACUUUAGGUGAUAUCACUUAAUUAGGAAAAGCAUCCUAAUCAGAUCCACCUCCAAUUGCAAUAACUGUAGGGAGUCAAGUACAUUUCUCUAUCAAAGCAGCAAGCUUUGUAAAGUAAAGUAUAGAUUUUGGUAUUUUAAAUUGGGAUACAAAAACAGUAACUGAGAAAGAAUAACAAAGAAUGGGAAAAAAAAUGCAUUCUCCGCAUCCCAAAUUUCAGAAUUGCUUCUGAAAUAUAUAAGCAAUAUUUCACAUGGUAUUUCUGCAACUCCACUUAGUAAAAAAAAAUGUCAGGAUCAGUGCUUCCAUAGUCAGAACUAAAGAGGGCCAAGGCACACACACUAUUCCCAUUGGUAACUCAAUAUUGGUAACCAAGACCACCUUGCGUUUUCCUGGUAUUCUGCCCAUGGGUAUUAUACAUGGCUCAGAGAAAGGGAAACCUAGAGCAGGAUGUGGACACAGUGAGGAUCUCUUGCUGGAAGGACCAAGUCCUCAUGUGGUUAACAGCUGUGCUGCCUAGGACUUUUAGAAGCACGGUAUCCCCAUAUCCUCUGAUUCCGUGUAGCUCUUUUUUUCAGUGACUGUGGAUUAGUGGUAUUGUUAAGCCCCCUAUGUCUACAAAUAUCCUUACAAUUUCUCUCUCUACAUUUAUCUUCAAUAAGAUGAAUGCCUAUUAAUGACACCAUUCCACUCUGUUCAUCUAUUUGCCUAGGAAAAAUCAUUUUGGCUUACAGCAUCUGAUGUUCUGCCUUCUGCACAGGACAAAUGCAAAGCCCAGGAACUUCAGAAAUCCCCUUCAAUUUCAGUAAAUCUUAAGGCUUAUUUCAGUGAGAUGGGUUUUCAGUGAGGCACCUCCUCUUUAACUACAAGUAGCCACUCAUAAUAAAAGCUAUACGGAAUAGGAAGGGAAAUAAAUACUAAAGUACUACCAAUUACAUGCAAUUAUUUGCAUUGCCAAUAACCAAGCUCUGCAAAGUUACAAAACAGGUUUUAAAAUAACAAUUUUUAAUGUAUGUGUAGGAUCCUGUUUAUGCAUUUGCUAAAUUUGAAUGGUUUUCUUUCUUCCAGUUUUUCUACACAAACAGUAGUUAGGAACUCCAGGAUCACUUAAAAUAAAUAAAUAAAUAAACCUGUGCUUAUAUAUUGGCUAUAUUGUGUGUGGCAGAUUUUCAAGACGUUUUCAGCGAGGUUCUUCACCAUAGACUCCUAAAAGAAGCAAACUUGGCAUAGGAGGGAGUUUCUCGACUUCAAGUAUAAGAAGGAACAAAUGUUAAAAUCUUACUACGCUGAUGAAAAACAUGGAAGUUACCUGUGAAUUCUUUUUAUCUGUCCAGAAUACUCAAAAAUGAUGAGAGAGGGGUGGUGAGAGUAUGUGUGUGUGUGCUGUGAGUGAAGAAAGACUGCUGUUGAUAUUAAAAUCCUCAAGCUGAUCAUGGAGAGUUGUAGAAAUAUCUCAAGACAUUUAGUUAGUGGCCACCAAGAUUGAAUAUUUAUUUAUAUUAGAUCAAUGUAGGACAUGGUAUGUUAGGAAUUAUUGCAGGAAAUAGAGAAGAAAACAUGAAGCAUCUCCAUGUCAAUGAAUUUUUCUAUAGUGAAGACACAUAUUAGAUAAUAUCAUUAUAGUGAACCUACCACAGAGUAAGACUAACUACAAUAGGUUCAGAAAGUCAGAACCAUCAGAAGAAUAACAUAGAUUCUUACCAAGCCUUAGUUUAACAUAUUAAAACUCUUCUGCUUGGAAACCAAAGAAUUACAUGGAGAACGUAAAUAAGAAAGAAGUAUUGGGUACCCAGUAAAAUGACAAAGUAGCAAGUUUAAAAGCAACAAGCAGAAACAUUGCACAGUCUUACUGCUGCAGGAUUUUGUUGGACCUGGAGUACAAAUUAAUGGGAAAAAAUCUUGCAUGUGGCUUUUAACCACAACAUGACUCCAGUGCAACCCUGCUCAGGAAGCCAUUAAGCAACUGAUUGCUGUACUUUCCCUAAUUGUUAGAUAUUUUCCUUGAUAGUUGCUUAUUGAUCAGGAACUGCAUCCUGGAUUAGCUAGAUUCCUACAUGAUCCAACACAGUCAUUCAUUCUCUGGUUAUGUUCAUAUGAGAAGAAUUUUCUGGGGGGAAAAAAAGCAGUUGUACAUUCUCAUUGGUUUUAUUAAACCACUAUGCCACUGCUUUAUCUGAAAGGCUGUAGAAUCAGCUAUUUUUCACCGUGUCUCUACCAAGUCUCUACCUGAUGAGGAACAAUCAGAUGUAAUUUUGAAGCAAUGGAAUGGCCAUGUCCUGUAUGAAAGCAUUUGUGUCCAAUCUUAUUGAAGGAACUGGGAAGAGAACAGGAACUAACAGGAUGACAUUUGAAACACACAGUUUGAAGACCUAUGAGGUGAAGAAACACCUGCAAGGUUUGUUAUUGCUGUCUAUUGCUGCAUUAUCCAUGGGUAGUAACUGAUUUUGACAUUUUCCCAAGUUCUGUGUUAUUUUAACUGCUGGACAUGCCUGGGAAGUGACACACUGGAGCCUGGAAAUUGGAGCUCAGAGUGCUUGCUGUGAUGAGUGGCCAGGUAGGUUGGAGCUGCUCUCGCAGUCUUAUGGCAUGUGGCCAGCGGGAAACCAUUCUUGUAAGAGGAUUAAAGGCCAAAAGCAAAUGCCUAGGAUACGUGUCUGAGAUGUCAAGGAAAGAAGCAGCACUGCAGCUUACUCAGACUGGGAGAAGCUGAAGAGCAAACUGAUCCAAAAAGCGCUAUCAUGGGGUGCCUCACAGGAGGGGCGUUAGCAGGGCUGAGUGACCAAGUCAGUGAAAUAAAGAUUUGCACAGGGAAGAGCAGAAAGCUUUGAGAGCUGGAAUUCGUCCACUUGUUUGUGUACAGCCUGACAGGCUGCAAAGCUUCCCGGCCUACAAACCAAGGAGAAAAUGCCAGCCUCCUCAGGAUGCACCUGGCCUGGGUGGCCACCAUGUCUGGGAGGCUGCUGCUAUGGUCACUUUGCUCAUUCCCCUUUUUGAAGCUGAUAUUCUAAAAUAUCUUUGAGGCACCAUUUCUGCACAGAACUUCAUUUCCACAUGUUCAUGGACUCCUAAGUUUGGUCAUCUGUAUAUUCUAGCACAUCCCAAACAUGCAGUGCUAUUGUUGUAGUAGUAGUGGUCUAAGAGUGUGAGAGAUUGUAGAGAUGGGAAAAGAAGAAAUGUCCUAAGCAUAACAUCAUAAAUUGUAUUCUAAAUAGUGGUUCUAAUCAAAGAUAAUACCUCUUUCUACAGUUCUCACCUCAUAUCACAGAGCUGUACACGGCUACACUGUGGAAAACCUAUCUUAAACAGAGUAUGAAAACAGUCAUCACACACUGCCUCCUGCCAUCAUCACCUGAUACCAAUUGCCCAGGGCAAGGACAUCCAGCCCGCCACUGCCGUAUGUUUGGUUCUCUGCGUUUGUUUGUAGCUAUUCAGAAGAUUGCGCUGACAGCUAAGGUGGGCAGGACUGUGCCCAGGUGCUGGAAGUUUUGCCCUCAGAUGCCACCCAUCCUUCCAAAGCUGAACCAUGGGACACUCAUGGGGAAGUAUCGAGUUGCCUGACCUGAAGUGAGCUGUCACCAAUUUAAGCAUAGCAAAAAGCAUGACUCACUGCUACAUGCAGUUCCAAAAAGCCCUUAGUGGAGAAAAACAUGUGACUUUUCACUUGCUAAAGCAGGGCCACUCUAGAGUUUACAGCUGCUGUCAGCCCUCAAAGCUCUUCCUCUUCACAAACAACAGUGCUUUAUGCAUGAAGACUGUCUCAAGAGCAAGACAGAGGAGCCCUGAUGGAACCAUAUUCCAUUGAAAUGUGUGAUUUUAUCAGUUCACUUCAGAUGAAGAAUUCUGCUUUGUGAUUUACAGGACUUCUGUUGAGCACAUGAAGCACAUGUAACUGGAACUGGGAUUGCAUGGGGAUACCGUACCGUCUGAACGCUCACCAAAAAGCUUCCUGCCCCCUCUGUCCCCUCCUUCUACAUCAUUUAGCUUUACUUUCCUAAUCUUGCUUGUCUUUCUUCCUCUUGCCAUGAUCCUAGCAGGUUUGUGUUUCCAGGACAGCACUGAAGAUGUGCCAGCAGCACAAGGGAAAAAAGAAAUAGAUACAUGGAUUGAGAAAAGCAGACUGAAGAGUCAUCAGAUGCAUUGUCACCACGCUGUUCUUUAUAUGAAAACUUUGUGGUUCUUUUAGAAGUGAUAUAUUUUCACAGUCUGAGGUACACAUCCACCCCGGUUGCAGUCCCCAUCUCAAGAAACAGUAGGAGGAUUUUUUCUUUUCCAGUUGUGUUGACAUUGUACUUUGCCCUUUCAGCACUGGCUGUUAUGGAAAAUCAGGAUCAGGUAAUUGCAAGCAGGGCCUGAAGUGUAGGCAGGAGGCAAUCCUCACACACUGAAUGCUCACCAGUGCAGAACACGAGUUAAUCCUGUUUCACUUGAGUUUUCUUUCUACAAUAUUUAUAAGGUUUAUUGUACACAGAGAUACACACAUGUCAGUAUAAGAUAUCUAAGGUAAACCUUAGAUAUCCUUCAGCUACAGUAAUAAUGUGCCUUCAGUACCCUCUUGCAGGUGCUCCCACCGCUUCCAUAGGAGGAGAGGUAGCAGGGGGCAUGAUGAACAUGCACUCAUGUGACACUCACAUCCUCUUGGGUGACAAUCAAGUGUAUUUGGGGAGCUUGCUGCAGACUGCCCCUAGUCCUCACCAGCAGUCUGUCCUGGCCCUGCACUGCAUCACAAAGCCCUGUGACGGGCCAGCUUUGGCUGCAGAGAGCUUCUCCAUCAGACACGUGGUGAGGGAAGGCAGGUAGAGUCCCUGCCCUGGGAAGGUCAUGGGAUGUUUGGGCUUGUUUUGCUUCAUCAGCUCCAAGCAGUCAUCUCUAUGUGUGGUUUUGGAGACCCUGGGGUUUUCUCCCUGUAAAUACACAUAUAUAUAUAUGAUAUAACAAUAAUAAUAAAUGGUGUUAUCGCUUCAGGUAGGCGGUGGUGGGAGGCGGGAUGCCCCCUGCCCAGAGGUGCCUGGGCAGGCUGCAGCAGCUGUCGGGAGCGGGCACGCCUCGGCUUUCCCGAGGCACUCGAAAGAUACUUUAAAGCCACUGAAGAGACACUUCGCGAGGCUGAUCCACUAAUGUCGUUUUAUUAGCAGCUUGACGCGAGAAAUCCAAAAUUUUCGGGGCGAUAAGUUUAUGUUUGUUUGUUUUCCCCGCACAAUGAGCCGCAGGCAAUUGCCUCUCUCUGGAUUGCCAAGGAGGGGAGUGGGAGCUGAGAGCACGGGGACGCGCGCUGAGCCGGGAGCUCUAAUGGAGGGUUCUAUUUGUUUCCAUGAUUACAGCUAUAAAUAAUAAUAGUUUAAAAAAAAAUCCCAACAACUUCGGGUGGUUUCAUUCUCUGCGUCCCGGGGGUGUCCCGGCGGCGUGCUGUUUUCGGCAGCGCUCCCGCAGGCUCCGUGUGCGCUGCAGGGGCCUCGAGGCUUUCCCCUCUCCACGGUGGUUUGUGGCGAAAAGCCCGCCGCGACCUCCAGCGCGGAACUGCGGUGCCGCCGCCCGGGGCCGCGGAGCUGCCGCUCCGCUCCGCGCCUCUGCCUCGUCGCCUCCCGUCGUCCCGCUCCGCGCUGGAGCCCUUUUGAAGCCGUGCCCUACUUUGUAUUGGCUGCUGAACAAGCCUGAAAAUUGAUAUUACAGCUUUUUAUGAUAUAAUAUCCCUCUAAUUGGUGCUUCAUAGGGCCGUGCCUGAAUUCUUUUCAAUUAAGCCCUAAACUACAGUGACUGUUUCUCUCGGUACAUGCUGGAAAAGCCAUUCACGAGAGAGGCGACUGGUACUGCACAAUUCCAAAGUACCUUUAAUGUGUCAAAAAUGUUUUGUGAAGAAAGCAACACUGUAAAUGCAAUCACCUACAUUGGUGUCCCCAUUGUUAAGCGGGAGCCAAAGUAUUGCUAAUUGUCCUGCGUUUUAGCUGGGUUUUUAGAGCAUUAUGUAGUAAGUACACCGAAGGGUCAAUUUGUGAAGUGAAAUACUUAGCAUGCAAAGCGUAAUACAAGAUGCUGUGUAAUACUUGACCUCUCAGCAUAAUAAAUGUAGCAGUGAAACGCUGUGCAUUCAGGAUUCGCUGAAUAGAGCCUCCGCAGAGGAACAAAACCAGAAAAUGUUCUCUUCAUUCCUUUUUUUUUUUUUUUUUUUUUUUUUUUCACUAAGCGAAAAUUAUUCUUUAUAAUGGCCAUUGCAGCAAUUAGCCAGCAUUUGGGGAGAAUAAAUGUGCAGAAAUAGCAAUUUCUUAUUUUAAAUGAGAUUUUUGUAUGGAGGCUGCAAAUUACUUGGAGGUAUAUGACUAAUUGUUGCCUUAGUUUUAUGCUACAGAAUAGGGUGUGGGUGGGUAUAAAGAUUUCCUAUUUGCAGUUAAAUGUUUAGACAUUUUAUUAUUUUAAUUUCACUCUCAGUCUGUCUCGAUUGACCCUGCUUUCCCCACUGAUCAUUGCAUAUAUGCCAGGAAACAAGUACUCAGAUGAUGGAAGCUUUCCAAUUAGAGCUUUAUGGUUUUAUGGUUUGGGUGUGUGCGCACUGGGAGGGGGGAAGGGGGGGGGGGGGGUCUCUACCUUCUUAUUUAUUUAUUUAUUUAACCUCUCUCUCUCUUUUUUUUUUUUUAAUGAAUGUGACAUGUAAGUGCAAUCAGUUUAUACUCUGGAUGCUACUGUGGUGUUUUGAAUUUAGCUUGCUAAGUCAAAACAUUUUAAGAAUAUGACAUAUUUGACAGGCAUUACUCAUUAUCCUCUAGAAUGGCAAACCCUAUUAGUGCUUUAUUUACACAUUUUAAAGGUUUUGUGCUCAUAAUAAUAAAAAAGAAAGAAAGAAAAAAAGUAAGAGAGAGAUGUAAAAUUCUUUCUCUUGGGCCUUCAAGAUUCCUGAACUGAGUUUUUAAGUGGAUGGAGAUUGUUGUGCUUCACUUCACUAGCUGAAGUGGGAGAAGUUUUGUGAAUCUGGAAUUAAAAUAAUUUCAGAGGAAGCACGGUUCUAACAGCUAGAACUUACUAGGAAUUGUUUGUUUCACAAAAAAAAAAAUACACUUUCUUGCAAAUUUCACUAGGUCAGUGCACAGUAAUGGAAUUUUAUAUUCUGAAUAAAGAAUCAUCCUGUGUGAUCAUCCUAACAUUUGACUAAGAAAAAGGCUUGGAUAACUAAUUUUGAGGUUCGUAAUUUCCUCUCACUUAAUCUAAAACUUUCCUCAACUGCACAAAUUAGUUCCCUUCACUCUUGUUCCUACUGGGAUACCUACACUCCCUUCUUUAUAUUGCAUACAACCUAGAUUGCCCCUGAAGUGUGAUUUCUCAGGUAAGGACAGAAUCUCAAGACAAGCACUGUUUGUUCUCUCACCUGACACAUAAAACUGAAUGGCUUUGGAAAAAAAAGGAUUCUUUCCCAAACUUUCUCUUGUUCUUAUGAUGAUUUCAAACAUUUUUUUACGACUUUUGCAAUUUAAUAGUCUUCGGGGCUUUUGAUCUGUUAGUAAAUAUAGUUCCUUUUUAAUAUACACAAUAGGAAGUUAAAAUUAUCCACGUAAUAUUGAAGUCCUUAUUCAGGCCUGAUCAUGCAGUCACUACAUAUUUAAAAACUCCUUCCCUUUCAUUAAAGUGUUGUGUCUGCAGGAAUAUUGGUUUGAAAUUCUGAGCUGAAAGCAUUCAGUUAGUAUUUCAGACAGAAAUGAUAUUAAAAAAAAAUUGCUGGUGACUAUAGGAAAUACAGUUUUAACAUUCCUGUACUAAGAUGUCAUUCAGUAACAUUUCUUUAUUCUUUUCUUCUAACAUCUUUUUUCUUUCUUUUGUUUUUUAAUGGUCUUUUUGAUAGAAUGUGAAGAUGAGUGAUUAGCCCAUGAGCUGACUAGAACAAGCCUAGAAAGCAUUCAUGAACAAAGUUGUCAUGCUAGAUCUUGAGGAACUUCUAGAAUUAGAGUUUUGAAAAUUAAAAAUAUUGCUACUAAUCUUGUAUACAGAUCUUUUUCUUUUAAAUUAUUCUGAUGUUAGAAAUGGAUUUCAUAAGUGUACGUGCUAGUAGAAGUAUAGGCUUGACUCAUUGAUGGUAAUUACAAUGCAAAGCUUUUGCACUGUAAUGCAAAUCAUUUACCACGAUCUUUUGGCAGUAUGACUUGCUCUCUCCCUACAGUAAUAUCUCCUUUGAAAGUCCAGGUCAUCUUUAUACUUUUAAAAUAAAGUAAUCUAUCAAAGAAACAUCCUUUCUAACCCAAACUUUGUGUGCAUUUGUGAACUAAUUUGUCCUCAUUUCAGUUGGAGAGUGAUCAGUGUUAAGUCUCCUCAAAGUUAACUGUCCUCUCAUUGCAUAAAAACAGAGAAAAAAAAUCUUUGCCUAGAUUAGUUGCCAAUUUAUAUUUUCCAAAGCCAGUUGAUGUGCACUUGUGCGAGAACUUUGCAUCUUCCAGUGAUUUAUAUUGCUGGAAAAUAAAAAUUCUAUAUGUCCCAAUGAAAUACAUGAGACUAGCUUUUAGCUUUCAAAUUUUCCUAAGUACUGUAUGAAAUCAAGUGAGUUGAUUGCUAUGUGAACUAUAUGCUCUUCAGUUUUUUGAGGUGUACAGAAUUCGAUUCAUAGCACAAAGAAAACGUGUCUUAGAAGGAAAAGAGAAGUCAACAAACUAUUUGAAUUUCCCAGAAUACUUGAAACUUUUAAAAUUUCUGGCAUAAAUUCAACAGAUCCUACAACAAUCAUAAUGCAUGUCACAAAAUUACACAUAGUGUCUAUUCUGUAUUUUGUCUCUGCUGGAUGCUGGGGAGUGUGAUCAUGAUUAGUUAUUCUAGAGCACUCAUGAGUAGUCUGUUUCAUUCAAGAGAAAAUUCAACUCAUUUUUCAUUACCCAGUUGUGAACACUAUCUUCAUGGUAGUAGUUGUAAGAAAAGAAAUUGUCUUUUUAUUAGUUCCUUGUAGAAUGUUCCUGAGUAACACAUUUUGGAUAUAUAAGAAGGUAAUUUAUGAUGGCUUUUUGUUUCCAUCAACUUACAAAAAAUAUUGUCAGUGAAGCAACAAGGCAUGUGUCACUUCUUCAGUUUCUUUGCUCUUUGGUGUCUGUUAGUCAUCAAUGACAUAUGUAAUGGAAGGUAGUAUUGUUAAAAGCAUGUAUUUAAAAUUAAUAUUUAUCCAGAAAACUAAGGGCAUAGCUAAGACUAGCCCUGAUAACCUUCUGUAGUAUUGCUCAGCUGAAAACCAGAAGUGAUGAAACGCAGAUUCUUCUUCGUUAUCCACCUUUAUGACCAUAUUGGUUACACAUUUCUGUGCUUCAAUUGUUAAUUUCCUAAAUAACCUAAAAUAAUCUAAACUAUCUGACAAAGUCCUUAUACUUGGUAGAUACUUCUAGAUAUGCAGUCACUAAUCAUUUCUCAAUCCAAAAGCAACCAAAAAUAAAAUUAUUUUUCUUAACUGCAGCAUGGGUUCUACUAAUAAGCUUCAGAGGUACAGGAAAUCUGGAACUUCCACAGUGGCAACUAAUAGCCUGAUGUAAUAUUUAUCAACAUGCGUAUGUCCAGUAUUUCAAAUUUGCUAUGUGAACCUGAUUUUCAAAGUAAACAUACACAUUCUUUUCACCUGGGAAAAUUUUAAUUUGUUGCCAUGUAAACUUGAGGGGCCUAGUUUUGGGCAGGUCAUUAUCUGCUUGUAUAUGUAUACACAUUUCUAGAAAUUGGAAACCAAGUGCUCUGUUGAGGUCAAUUUAUUUUUUGGAGGAAAAAAAAAGCUCUUCAGCUAUGAUAAGACAAAUCUUGUAAAUGAAAUUCAGUUUCUUUUGAAUUAUGUGCAAGGAUGAACAUAGUGAAACAUUGCCUGAUAAUAUGGUAGAUAUGAUUACAAAACAUCUUAGUGAACAAAAUUUGUUUUCAUCAUCUUCCUCCUGGCAAUUCUUUUACACUUUGAAAAAAUGUUUGAUUCAGUGUGUUUUACUUGUUAGUGGCUACUACUCCACACAAAACAGAGGGCUGUAGCUGAUACACAAGAUGGUGUUCUUGACUGUUAGAUGCUAAUAAGAAAUUUUAAAUAUAAGUAGUUAAAAAGGCAGAUUUGCAAUUGCUGUCCGUAACUGCCACUCCUUUGAUGUUUUUGCAGACUAGUUUUCAUGUGUAACUUUUUCCAUUGAGUGGAAUUCGUGCAUAUGGUCAAUUAAGAGACUAAAUUGAGUGUUCCAUUCACAAGAGCAACCCACACUCAGUGAUCUCCUCUUUCACUUAAGCAGAUCCGUAGCAUAAAGAAGUGUAAUUGAUGGUGUACUUAACAUAUUUAAUCCAAAUUUUGUCAUUAAAAAAAAAAAAAGUAUAAACAGGUGUAGGAAAAUGGCAUGACAGCAUUAACUGUGCUUUCAGAGGUAACCAAAUGGCAUGUAUUUUAGAUGGUUGGAAAUGUAUCAGGACAAAACAGGAUAAGGAAGAACCACCUGGCUAGACUUGUAUCUUCCGCUGACUAUUUUUGUUUUUCCUUUCUGCAAUUUCUUCUUAUUUUCUUUUCAAAUACUGAACUGUUGAGUAGGUUGUUUACACCAAAUUACAGAAUAUUCAAUCAAUACAAAUCAUUCCACCUCUUAAAGUUACUUAAUCGUGUAAAAAUAACUUACGUGGUAUUUCCUUUCAAUAUUUCUGUUACUUCUACACAUACUCUGCAUAGUACUACAAGUAAGUUAAUUGCUUACACAAGGACACAAGUUUUACUCCAAUUUUAUGGUGUCUGUUCUUUAUGGAACCAAUAGGAAGUGUUCCUCUAUGACUGAGAAUAGAAAUGGCUUGAAGACUGGAUUUUGGCCUUUGGCAGAUGUCUGGCCAUGGGACAAAAAAUCCUCUAGAUGUGAACAUAUGUGAGAAAAAAGAAGAUAAUGCAGCCAUAUAUAAAAAGAAGCAUUUUUAUGUCAAUAAAAUGAAACAUUCAGGAAAAAGUAUAGAGCAACGUAGAAGGUAAUUGCAAUAAAUUAAAUGGGAGAAAAGUCAAGGGCACCCAAAGGCCAUAGUAUAAAGCAGCAGAAGAAAAAUAGGAUGCUGGUGGAAUUUAGGGCAGUUUUAUUUAUCACAUCAAAAUAAGCAUAAUAAAAUGUAUGAAUUUUGUCACUUACAAUAUUCUCUUUUCUUUUUGUUUACUAAGGAAACCCAAAAUUACAAAUGAAUGAGAUCUGGUUUAUGAAUGAGGUCUGGCUUCAGGCUGAGAUCAAGUGAAACCAUUGAUUCAAUAUUAAUUCACUUUGAACACAUAAAUAGGUAUAGGUUCAUCAUCUAGAAUCUGUAUGCUUACGAAACUUGGCAACCUGUCCAGCACUGUUGAAUUUUUCAUGAUAUCAAAUCUGAGCAAGUUUCCCUUGGCUGCAGUAUCAACUCUUGAGUGUUUCAUAUAGCGGCAUAAUAUUAGUUUGUUUCCCUAUAUGUAUAGAUAAAUGGAUAUUUCUAUGUAAGCAUAUGUGUACUUAUACAAGCUUCUCAAAUACAUUUCUUGCAUUGAUAUUGCAGAAUCUAUGAAGAGUGAUAUACAUAUUGUAGAAGUCUUUAUAUAUGAAUAGAAAAAUAAAUAAAAAAUGGUAACAGUUAUACAUGCACUAUUACCUCUCAAUGUAUCAAUUCAUAUUAUGGAAUUCUUCAAUAGAUUUGAAGAAAAACUGAAGUCUGGGGCUUUGGUUAAGUAAUUUUUUUCAACAUGUAAAAAUAAUGAAUAUAAUAUCCUGCUGAAUUGAAGUGUAACUUUAACUUAUCGCAAUAGGAUUCAUAGCUCUGUUUUACUCUCAUAGCUACUAAAAGCUUGAGCUUUCAGGUAAGUGUUUUCACUGUGAAACAGUAAGCACUGCAUGGGUUAAUUAGCUGUAGACUUCAUUUUCCUUGUAUAUUUCAUUUGGAAAGCAGAAAUUAAGUAUCGAGAAUUAAUUAGCUAUGUACAAACUAUGAAAAACUGUUGAGGCAAGUGCUGUCUUGCUAAUUCAUGACUAUAUUUAGAUAUUGUAAUGAUUAGAUUUUAAAAGAAACAAGCUAAUUAGAACAUUUUUUCCAAAGUCACACAGAGGUCAGGAAUGACAGCGACCUUCUGUAAAAUGGAGAAUAAAUAUCUGCUAUUCUGUAGAUUGUAUGGAACUGGUACAGUAAGGCUAAAGCCUUUUCCUGUUCAAUGAAUUGGAAUUAAACAUGCUAAUUUGAGAUCUCCUUCAAGUAUUUUAUUUAACUACUUUGGCCUUUAAUUCAUUUAUAGUGCAACAUUUAAUGUAAUGUUAUUUAUAUAUACGAAGCACGUUAUACUUAUUAACCAAUGUGCAAAAAUCUAAAGUACAGAUUUUAUGUAAUGGGCUAAUUACGGGACUUUAAAGCCACCUACUGAGUUUUGCUAAGCUUAACAACAGGUUCACUGAACUGGAUAAAUUUAUUCAAACUUGUGGAAAUGAACCCCAUUCUAUGUGCAACCGUACUGGGAAAACACACAAAUUAUACCUCAAUACCAGUUUAAUGGGUCAAACAGUGAACCUGAAUACCAAACUUAUCUACAUCUUGCAACAGCAGAGAAGCUAUAGGCCCUGGGUGAGAAGAGGAAGUGCCCAUUCAUAGUUUCUUCCUCAAGUUUGUAAAUAAUUCAGAUUUGGUAUAUUGGACAAGCCAGAUUUUCAACGUACAUAGGGAUGGGUUAGUUUGUAUGAUAUUGACCUUUGAAGAACAUAGUCUUAAAAUAUGUUAUAUGUGUCAUAAGCAAGUGAAGAAAAAGAAGUAAACUAUAUGAUCUUUUACUAUAUCUUCCUAUUACAACUACUAAGUUUAGGCUCUAUAAUUUGUUUAUUUAUUAUGACAUGCUGCUUUUAAAGGCUAACUUACUUCAAUCAGACAUUCAAUGUCUAUCCGUAAGGUCUGAAUGCCAUCUAAUUUAUGUCCUUCUAAAUUGGUUCAAAUAUAAUCAAAGUUAAGUGGGGUCUUUGUUAAAAUGGAAUAAAAUCAGAUUCAUACCAAAAUAUCUCUUACUACUGUACUUUGAAGGUAGUGUUAAACUUUUGGCUUUCCUAUCUGAAGAGUGUACAAGAGGCUUACAUUUCCUACAUACUGUUAAGUUUCAGAAAGGUUCACAAGGCUUCUACUUUCCUUGGCUAUCCAAAGCCACUUCAUUGUUUCCUGUCAAGUUAACCUAGUUUUUAUGUCAGUAGAAUUCAGCAAAAUAUCUCUAUUAGUAACCCUUUCUUUUCAACUUUUAACAUUCAGGUAAAAGCAAGACAGAGAGGCUGGCUUUCUUGUACUAGCCACAGCAUGUCCUUCAAAAAUGAAGUGUUUAGCUAUUUUUAAACACUACUGUAGUCUAAGGUUAAUAUGUGAUUUAAAAAAAAAAUUAUUUGCAUUGUUCUUCAGAAUUAUUGUGCAGAUUAUCUAAUAAAAAUCUUUUCUCAAAAAAUUGAGUAUUCUGCUUUUGAGAUUUUAUGUAUCUAUACGCUGCUUUGGAUAACUACGCAUAAUCUAUUCAGUAGCUGACAUUUGGGUCUUGAUAGAUACAUUCAAGCAUGUACUUUCAGGAAUAAUAAUGCCAGUGCACUGUGUUCUACAAUGUGUGCAAUGAAAAUGUGCCUCAUAAAGCCCAUAAUUGUUGCUUAAGUUACAAAGAUGAUUUUUUUUUCCAGUAAAUGAGGAACAAGCCACAUAAUCUUGCUAACACUAUAUGCCCAGGAAAGAAGAGUUUAAAUAAGAAAUGCAUAAAUUUAGCAGACUGCUGUAACAAAUGAAAUGGUGUAGCAUUGAAAACAUUUGAGGCAAUUAAUCAAUGCUGUGUUUGCACAUAUCAUUAAAUAUAUUAUACUAAGUUUAGAUUUGAUUUCUAUGCUUCUUUUAUAAAGAGUUAAAAGAAAAUACAUUUGAAUUCAUGCUGAUACUGAAAACAUGCUCCUAGCUCCUAGUUUCUUGGAUUUCAAAUCAUUUCCAUUAACAAACAGCUAUUUGCCCUCUAAUAAAAUAUGUCAUUAUGCUUUAUUCACAUCACACAAAAGAAUCACUGAAAAAUCGCCCCAAUGAUGGCCAAUAAUUACACAUUUUGCUCCUGCACGAGCAAUGAAGAAAUCUGUUCAUUGGAGAAAGCAGGUGCUGGGGCAUCAUGCUAAUAGUCAAUGUGUGCCACAGUAAUUAGCCAUUGCAAUUGCUAAAAUUAACAAUUAGCUAACAUGCAAUUCUCUUUUUGCAGGCUGCAGUUUACUUUGUAUAAUCCUUGUACGUUCUUAGUAAUUAUUCUGACAGCUUAUUAUUUUUAUUUUUUCUGGUUUGAACACAGCUUUAACAUUUGAAUCAGUCUACCCAAAUGUUCAACAGGCAGUAUGAAACAACUGCUUCACUAGCAAUUUCUAAGGAACAAAUUUGUUUUUAUUCUCAACUUUGCAUUGUUCAAGAAAUAUAUGACUCUUUUAUAGGGUAAGAACUCCUCAUCUCGUUUGAGGGCUGAGGACCGCAGAUAAGAUAUUAAGACUUUUUGACAAUGGUAGGAUAUAGAACCAUCCCAACUUUUAGGAUAUACUCUUAGGAACUGUUCUUUGCAGUUUAGUUUCUGGUUCAUCGUCGCUAGUUGUCCCUGGUGCUCCUAUUGGUGGUCUGUGGAAACUUGGAAGGUCACUUUCUACUGUCAGAUAACGUCGAAUCAGGGAAUACACCAACCUCCCACUGUUCUUCAUCUGAACAAGUGCUGGUGUUAUCCCUUGUAUUGCUUCAUUUGCAAAGGCCUUCAUAAUCCUUCUAGGAAUUUUGCAGAAUUGUGAUUGGCGUUUGGCCCAUACUGUGGGCAUAAAAAGAUAACAGGACAGAGUAAGGAACAUCUUCAUGAGCCUGCCUCAUAAACUAAUGGUAUGACCACAUCUUAAAUACUGUAUGUUGGUUUGAUAAUCCACCUCGCAGGAGAAUAACAGUGGACAGAGAAAACAAAUUCAACAAGGAUGAGCAAUGGUGUGGAGAGGCAUUUGUACUGGGAAAGACUAUCCAGGCUGAUAAAUAUGGAAAAGAUGACUGGCUGGGCUAUAAUGGGGACUUAUACUGGUGGUGUGAAGAAAUUAAGUGAAGAAAACUAUUUGCAUUUUCUUAAAGAACUGUGAGGCACUCAAUAAAACCAACCAGUUUAAAAAGAUCAAAAGCAAUCACUUUUUCUCAUGGUGCAUAAUUAGGCAGUGGAACUCAUUGUCACAGGAUGGCUAAGUGGGAUGAAAGAAGAACUGGCUGGGUUCGCAGUAAGUCCCCAGCAGCACCCAAGAUUUACUCACGCGUUAUCAGGCUCAAAGUGUAUCUGAAAAUGCAACUGUAUGACAGAGAAAUGUCAUGCACUGCUUUUCCUUCACCAUCUUACUCUAUUCUAAGCCAUUGCUCCAAAGCGAGAUGAAAGAUUUGUUUGAUUUGAUAUAGUCAUCUUUUAUAAUUUUGUAUAGCAAUACAUGGUACAAAAAAAAAAGUUAAUAAUGAGCUACUCGAAAGAUGCAGAAGAGUUGCAUUUUUUCCUACAUAUUCAGGUCAGAAUUCAGCUGACAUAAAAAUCUGUGCAAUUCAGCUCAAAUCAAUGUAGACUGAAACAUAUGCAUAGUCAGAUUAUAUCCUGCCUAUUUUGCUUAGCUUUUAUAUUAAUACAUAGGUAGAUAUAAAUGGACUUGAAAACACUGAUAACUUUCAAACCAGAAGGGCCAUAGCAACUCCAGUGGAAUUCUUCCCAAUUUUAUAGGUGUAAGUGAGAGGAUAAUAAGACUUGGGGAAUUUAUGUAAUCUCCUGUAAUCAGCAUGGUUUCUGUAGCUGGCACCAAACCAAAACCAAUUUUUUAAACAGUUCUUUAAAGCUCCUCCAUGUUUUAAAAAAUAUUUUAAAAUGUGAUUUGCUCGUGUGCAUACAGACUAGCAAAGCUGUGUUACAGAAAAACAAACUGUCCCAGCAAUUGUUGUUUUUGACCUUGUUUUUCCACCUAAAAUCUCAACAGAGAUGCGGUCAGAAAGAAGCAACAAAAGCAUUCUCAAGGAUCCAAGCCUUUACCUGAGUCCAAGCCUUUAGCUGAGGCAAUAGUUACAGAAGGAUCAGACACAAAAUAAGGAUCUCAGGCAUGUUUUGACUGUGCCCAACCUGCUAGGCUCAGUAGCUCUGUGCAUUUCAGGCAAUAAUACUAUCAGAGAACAAGUAGUAAAAAUCAGAAUGGAAAAUACAUUCAAUUUUUUAAGGAUGUAUCUAAUAUUUUAGGCAUUAGAACAGGCUGCCCAGGGAGAUGACAGAGUCACCAUCCCUGGAGGUGCUCAGGAACCAUGGAGAUGUGGCACAGAGGGACAUGGACUACUGGGCAUGGUGAUGAUGUGUUGGUGGUUGACCUUGGUGGUCUAUUCCAACCUUAAUUAUUCUAUGAAUCUGUGAUUAAAUAUUCCUGAUGACCAUAGCCCCUGGGGACUUCAAUGAAAAUAUUUUCAUAUACAGUAAUUGAGAAUUUAGGUUUAUAGACACAGAAGGAAUUAGCCACUCACGGGUCAUUAAAGUAUCUACAUCAAAGGAGUAAAUCCACAAAAUUUGUAUCUUAAUUCAAUGUCAAUAGAGACUUAAAUUUUACCUGAGAAAACUCUCUGAAUGUCUAUGUUGCUGUUUAUAUCAUGCUAAGAAGAAUCUUACUCUUCGCACCGAUAAGCAGUUCUGGUAAACCAAGCUUCAUAAUGUCCCACGAGUUAGACAUCCUGUGUCUAUAUUCCAUGAAGCAGAAACCAGCAUGCAUUAGAAGGCGUGAUUUAACUUUGUUGGUGUAAAGUUCACAAACAUACAUUUCAGAUUAGACUAUGAAAGAACAUGGAUUUACAUUAAUAUAGUGAAGAAAAUGUCAUUUAUCUGACUUUCCUUCUCUCUGUCCCAGCAAGUUUUCAGUUUCCUUCAUAAAAGGUGGAAUACCUUCCACAGAGGAAUUGGCAUUACUUCUUCUGUAGGGUCUAUUGCCUUCUCUGAGUGCUUGAAAACCCCAUAUAAGGGGGAAAGAUGGGCACAUGAGGCUACAUUCAUAUCAUCCUAGUGGAGGCGUGACCUUUGGCAACUAGGUUUUUCACUGAGCAGAAAAAGGCCAGAACCCUGGCGAACACCAUAGCACAUAUGGCUUUAUAUAUGUAAACAUAAAGCUUGACUAUUUGAACCCAAGAAAGGAAGAUUUAAAAGGAAAUUCAGAAAACAGGACUUCUUCUGGAAAUCCCCCAGCUAAGCAGGGAAAAAAAAAAAAAAAAAAAGGUUUCUCUGGAACA